rnacentral:rRNA from 1 species
AUUGAACGCUGGCGGCAGGCCUAACACAUGCAAGUCGAGCGAGCGGCGGACGGGUGAGUAAUGUCUGGGAAACUGCCUGAUGGAGGUGGAUAACUACUGGAAACGGUAGCUAAUACCGCAUACCAUCAGAUGUGCCCAUAUGGGAUUAGCUAGUAGUUGGGGUAAAGGCUCACCUAGGCGACGAUCCCUAGCUGGUCUGAGAGGAUGACCAGCCACACGGGAACUGAGACACGGUCCAGACUCCUACGGGAGGCAGAAGUGGGGAAUAUUGCACAAUGGGCGAAAGCCUGAUGCAGCCAUGCCGCGGGUGUGAAGAAGGCCUUCGGGUUGUAAAGCACUUUCAGCGGGGAGGCGUUACCCGCAGAAGAAGCACCGGCUAACUCCGUGCCAGCAGCCGCGGUAAUAC